GAUAACGAAAUCCGCGAUUAGAUUAGCAAUAUUAUCGAACUUCUGUCGCGACUUUUACAAUAAUACGACGUACACCGGCUUCCGGUUCUUCCUCUUUAAAAAAAACACAAAAAAGUUGUUAAAAUGCCUGAGUAUGAACGUUUGGACGGAAAUUCUGGGUGCAUGGCCAGUUGGAGGGCCUUUACUGCUAUGGAAAAGAAAUUAACAAUCUUGACCGUUAUUUUGGAAAUUGUUAUUUUUGCGCUGGCUUUGGCUUUGGCCACGCAUAAAUGCCACGAACCUGAUCCUAUAACGACUGUUCCACCCACAAUUUCAACUUCUACAAGCUCUGUAAAACCAACAUCUUCGUCUACAAAAAGCACCAGCACCGUAACACCAUCGCCCACAAACAGCACUAGUUCUAGUUCCAGCUCUGUAACACCAUCAACUACAAAAGGCACAACUUCUAGCACCAGCUCUGUAACACCAUCACCUACAAACAGCACAAGUUCUAGUUCCAGUUCUGUAACACCAUCACCUACAAACAGCACAAGUUCCAGUUCUGUUACACCUACUACUACUAAACCAUCAUCUUCGACAAAAAGUACCAAUACUACCCUUUAACUCAAUGGCAUGUGUUAAAUUUAACAAGAAUUUCCUAAUAUUUUUCUGUAGUUUUUAAACUUUAAACUAAAUCUUUAUAUUAGGCUUAAGAUUGGUGCAAUUAUUGAUAACUAUUUCAAACCUUAAUGGUGAUGAUGUUCUGAGUUUUCUACGAUGCUAAGUUUGUAAAUCUUAUUGAUCUUUUUAAAAGCAUUUAUUUAACUUACUCUGUUGUCUGUCUGUCUGCUUUCAUUUUUUCGGAGCCAAAUUUGAAAGAGUUCCAGUUGUCCCAACGAUUUGAAAUUUUGUAUACUUACUUAAUCUGCGUGACAAUGCAAUCCUAUGUAGUUAAAUACCCCAUAAGAAGGUUAAAAGGGAUUUUGAAGUUAUAGCUUAUGUUUACAAAGGUUUUCGAUGUGUACAUAACGUAACUUAUACCAACAUUAACGGUAUGUUGGUGAUUGGGAAAUAUAUUAAUACCUAAUCAUUUUCAUUACUUUUUGUUACAAACAAAUGUCGCUAUUUUUUUUAGUUUAUUUAUCUUGGACGAUAAAGUAUAGACACAGAACAGAGGUUACGAUGUGCUUUCAAUGCUAACAGCUGUUUUCUAUCAGAUACCAAUAAAGAAGUUUGCACAAAAUAAUGGUGUUACAGUAAUACUGCGAUACUAAAUCUCAGAGAAAAAAACAUUUAGAAUCACUAAAGACUAAAAAACAAUAAAUAAAAAUAUAAAAAAUGUUUUAAAAAAAAAAGAUUUUUUUUAAAAGGUGCAGGUUUUUCCUCUUAUAGAAAACCUUUAUUUUUUACUUCUUAGUGCAUCUUUUAGAUAAAAGCUUUUCUCUAAAAAAAAUUUUUUUAAGAGUAGGUAUUACAAACUAUAAACUAUAGUUUUAUACAAUUAAUAAAAGACUACAAAGAAUAUAUACCUAACAACUAGUUUUAGUUCUGGUUUAAAAAAAAUAGUUUUUUGUCACGUCGAGUUUCGUAGAACCACUGUAUACGUUUUUCAGGUUUCCCUGAAAGUUCUGUAAUUAAAUGCAAGUUCUAGGUUUCAACAAAGCAUCUCUACUCAAAACAACUCUGCGAAGGUGUACGUCUUUAUACCGCCUCGUGUUUGAUGUUUUUCAACGGGAAAUUUAAGCUUUGAAAAUUCAGGAUUAAGCUCCGCAAACUGGAUUAUAAAAAAUGUUGCGUUAUCUGUUAUUACCUGAGUACAAGUCGAUAACAACGUAACUUUCUCUCA